rnacentral:rRNA from 1 species
GACGAACGCUGGCGGCGUGCCUAAUACAUGCAAGUAGAACGCACAGUUUAUACCGUAGCUUGCUACACCAUAGACUGUGAGUUGCGAACGGGUGAGUAACGCGUAGGUAACCUGCCUGGUAGCGGGGGAUAACUAUUGGAAACGAUAGCUAAUACCGCAUAAUAUUGAUUAUUGCAUGAUAAUUGAUUGAAAGAUGCUAUUGCAUCACUACCAGAUGGACCUGCGUUGUAUUAGCUAGUAGGUGAGGUAACGGCUCACCUAGGCGACGAUACAUAGCCGACCUGAGAGGGUGAUCGGCCACACUGGGACUGGGACACGGCCCAGACUCCUACGGGAGGCAGCAGUAGGGAAUCUUCGGCAAUGGACGAAAGUCUGACCGAGCAACGCCGCGGGAGUGAAGAAGGGUUUCGGAUCGUAAAGCUCUGUUGUAAGAGAAGAACGGGUGUGAGAGUGGAAAGUUCACACUGUGACGGUAUCUUAACAGAAAGGGACGGCUAACUACGUG